CCGCCCGGUUCGUCAAGUGCAUUAGCGUCCAGCCGGUAUUUCACCGCCAAUGGCGGCUUCGAGGUCCAGCUAGAGCUCAGGUUGCUCAGCACACUACUCGAAUGAUACACCGUCUCUGCAACCAAGUAAAAAAUGAAAAUGGAAGAAAAGAAGAAAAUCAUGAGCUUGAUUGACUCCCUGAUGACCUAAAUCAAAAUCUUUAUAUCAAUCGUCUACGCAUUUCUAUGCUUUCUCAAUUCUCCACAACCAAACAUGCCCGCAAAUGAUGCCUGAUCUUAAUUACUCACUCUAUUUAUCCCAAAA